UACGAAGGGGGCUAGCGUUGCUCGGAAUCACUGGGCGUAAAGGGUGCGUAGGCGGGUCUUUUAGUCAGGGGUGAAAUCCUGGAGCUCAACUCCAGAACUGCCUUUGAUACUGAAGAUCUUGAGUCCGGGAGAGGUGAGUGGAACUGCGAGUGUAGAGGUGAAAUUCGUAGAUAUUCGCAAGAACACCAGUGGCGAAGGCGGCGCACUGGCCCGGUACUGACGCUGAGGCACGAAAGCGUGGGGAGCAAACAGG
rnacentral:rRNA from 1 species